UACGAAGGGUGCAAGCGUUACUCGGAAUUACUGGGCGUAAAGCGCGCGUAGGCGGCCCGGUAAGUCCGUUGUGAAAGUCAAAGGCUCAACCUUUGAACGCCGAUGGAUACUGCCGGGCUAGAGUCCGGAAGAGGCGAGUGGAAUUCCUGGUGUAGCGGUGGAAUGCGCAGAUAUCAGGAGGAACACCAAUAGCGAAGGCAGCUCGCUGGGACGGUACUGACGCUGAGGCGCGAAAGCGUGGGGAGCGAACAGG
rnacentral:rRNA from 1 species